UCUAAACAAAUAAACAUAUGACGUUUAAUUUUCUUUUAAUAUAAAAUUAAAAAAAAAAGGAAAUUAAUGUCACGAGAGAGUUAUAUAUUCCCAAUAAUAUGGUUUCUGUGCUACGUUUUGUAGGACCAUUUAUUGUCAAUCGAAAGUUUGAAAAGAUAAUAAAAAAAUUCUCCUAUGGUGUUUAAUUUAAACAAUUUAUUUUCGGUUGAUCUCGACCAGUGUACACCACACUCGUGUUUUCCAUAUACGGAGGCAUCGUCAUUAAAGAUUUUCAUAUAGAUAAGGAUGAUAUCAAUAGCAUAAUUCCUGUUUCAAUUCAUUUUCCGAAAGGAUUAUCGC